UUUUCGUAGGUGAACCUGCGGAAGGAUCAUUAUUGUAUAACCGAGGUGCGAGGGCUGUCGCUGACCCGAAAGGUCGUGCACGCCCGAGUGCCCUCACACACAUCCAUCUCACCCCUAUGUGCACCACCGCGUGGGUCCCCCUUUGGCUUGUUCGGAGGGGGGCUUACGUUUUCACACAAACUUUGUAUGCAGUGUAGAAUGUAUUUUUUGUUUUUGCGAUCACGCAAUCAAUACAACUUUCAACAACGGAUCUCUUGGCUCUC
rnacentral:misc_RNA from 1 species